rnacentral:lncRNA from 1 species
UAGAAUCUGCCCACUGUUUAUCAUGUAUGUAAGCUGUCUCACAGCCAUCGAGCCUGGGCAAGUGCCCGGGGUGGUCAGGCGCUGGCUCCGCCACUGCCUACUUUCAUUGUUCUUUUCUGAGCCGAAUAGCUUAUGCUCUCAGAGUAUCAGGGAAAGAAUAUGUAAUUGUUUCUAUGGUAUUUGGCCUUCAUGUAUAUUUCAUACCGUAUCUCCGUAUGCCUUCUUUCUUGUGCAGUAAAUGUAAAAAUAUAUGCUACAUUAUAAUAUUCUGUACCAGGUGCACGCACACUUUGCAUGCAUUUUUUACAUCAUGGUGAUUAGAAGCAGAAUAGACAAUUAUUCAGAGACGUAAAGAUUAGAAUAAAAAAAGAUUCACAUGUAUUUUAUCUGUACCUUCAUUACUAGAAGUUGUAUGCUUUCUUAUGUUUGAUUAUUUGAAUUACCAGGAUGAUCUGAAGCACCCAAAAGAAGUAGAGGACAUGACGGGAGAAGGGAACAAGAAGCUUCGUUUAUCAUUGAUGUUAUGUUGUGCACUUGUUGGGCCUUGAACCUUUAUGUGUAGAGGAGUCGAUGAAUAAUGUAUUGUAAUUCAUGUGAUGUGUUACUGAAAUGAAAUAUAUACAACUAAUUUGCAAUAA